CAGCACUGAGCAUAGUACCUGGCAAAUCACAGAUGCUCAGAAAUUAUUUGCUGAAUUUAAUUUCAGGUCCUUGGUAAAUCCUGCAAACCAAUUCCAGUCAUGCUCCUGGGAGUGACCCUCUUGAAGAAGAAGUACCCAAUGGCCAAGUACCUGUGUGUGUUGCUCAUUGUGGCUGGAGUGGCCCUUUUCAUGUACAAACCUAAGAAAGUAGUUGGGAUGGAAGAACA